rnacentral:rRNA from 1 species
UACGUAGGGUGCGAGCGUUGUCCGGAAUUAUUGGGCGUAAAGAGCUUGUAGGCGGUUUGUCGCGUCUGCUGUGAAAUCUCAAGGCUCAACCUUGAGCUUGCAGUGGGUACGGGCAGACUAGAGUGUGGUAGGGGAGACUGGAAUUCCUGGUGUAGCGGUGAGAUGCGCAGAUAUCAGGAGGAACACCGAUGGCGAAGGCAGGUCUCUGGGCCACUACUGACGCUGAGAAGCGAAAGCAUGGGGAGCGAACAGG